rnacentral:rRNA from 1 species
GAUGAACGCUGGCGGCGUGCUUAACACAUGCAAGACGAACGAUGAAGCCCAGCUUGCUGGGUGGAUUAGUGGCGAACGGGUGAGUAACACGUGAGUAACCUGCCCUUAACUCUGGGAUAAGCCUGGGAAACUGGGUCUAAUACCGGAUAGGAGCGUCCACCGCAUGGUGGGUGUUGGAAAGAUUUAUCGGUUUUGGAUGGACUCGCGGCCUAUCAGCUUGUUGGUGAGGUAAUGGCUCACCAAGGCGACGACGGGUAGCCGGCCUGAGAGGGUGACCGGCCACACUGGGACUGAGACACGGCCCAGACUCCUACGGGAGGCAGCAGUGGGGAAUAUUGCACAAUGGGCGCAAGCCUGAUGCAGCGACGCCGCGUGAGGGAUGACGGCCUUCGGGUUGUAAACCUCUUUCAGUAGGGAAGAAGCGAAAGUGACGGUACCUGCAGAAGAAGCACCGGCUAACUACGCG